AAGUCGUAACAAGGUCUCCGUAGGUGAACCUGCGGAGGGAUCAUUAACAUCCAACUCUGCCCUUCUCUGACUCUCAUCAGUCAGAGAAGUGGACCACACCCCUGAACUUUCCAUCCAUACCCUACACUGGAGGAGUUGUGAAGCUCUCGUAGCCCAGCUCUCCUCUUCCUUUUCUUCACCACUGACAUUUUCCCUUCUUCCCUCCCUCUAUUCUACCACUUCUCUGAUGGUAGGAUCGGAUCCUUUGCUGAGCAGACCAUUGCUCGGUGAGUGAUUUCUAUAUGAACAAUAUUUUUUCAUCACUCCCCACCCUGGAUCUCUUGGCUCUC
rnacentral:misc_RNA from 1 species